GCAUGUCAUAUUUAAGUGUUUAUGGACUAUUGAGUGGAAUGCUUACCAGCUCUCUAACACAUUCUUCCCAGCACCUGCAAAACUGAAAGCAUGGCAAAUUCAACUCCAGAAUUGAAAUUUUAUAAGAUGUAUCACUACAAAGCUUAGCAAACUUAACAAUAUCACAUCUCAAUAAAUCCAGUAAACUGGUGCAACUGACAAAUGAGCUGCAGAUUGCCCAUGAACUGAAAUGAUUAUUAUCCCCUACCUUCAAUAUGACUUGUUUUGCAUACACUAAUUUCAUGAACCAUAUUCCACCGAAAGAGUUCAUACUCAACCUGAACACACACAAAACGAGCCAACAAAGUUACUUCUACACUGAUUUUCAGCACUAGAAUUUAAAAUGCCCAUUAGUCAGUUCCGUCCCUUGCUAGGAGAAAUUUUGAAGCCUUGCCUGGUUUCAUGAGCAGUUCCAAUUUGACAGAGGUGCGCACAAAGAGGGGAAGGAGAGAAAAUUGCUAACAGGCUUGUACAUGUGGAUGCAUGCAGACCCAGCAUACAAGAGUGUUUGACAGGGAAAAGACUCAAAACAAAAAAAAAAGGAAAAAAAGAAAGGAAAUAAUUCAGGCUGGCAAAUAACAAAAGGCUGCAGUCACAACUGACACACAAACAAGGCAUAAAACAUCAUCUUAACACCAACAAUCAAAUAAAAUGUUCGAAAUGCAACUCUUCAGAAAAAAGGGUGACUAACGUUUGCCUAAAGUUUUUAAGGAUGAGUUCCACUUCUCAAGGCAAACUACCAAGCACUGACCAUUUGCGGGGAAAGACAUCGAAGGCUCAAGCAUAUCCAGUCUUAAAAUUCUAGAUUUUAUACAAUUGCUUCCAGAUAUAAGGUUGGGCUUCAAACAUAGGCCCGUCGUAAUGCAGACAUAAUUUGGCGCAGUGCUAAAGGCAUUAAGGAAAUUAGAUGGUAAAUAGCACCCUGUAUUGGUCCUAAGUAAAGCUUCCAUGGUGGGCCAUACCCAGCACUGCUGUCAAGAGGAUAAGAGGUCCUUACCCAGCACUGCCAGAACGAGC
rnacentral:lncRNA from 1 species